UACGUAGGGGGCAAGCGUUAUCCGGAUUUACUGGGUGUAAAGGGAGCGUAGACGGUCUGGUAAGUCAGGUGUGAAAGCCCGGGGCUCAACCCCGGGAUUGCACUUGAAACUACCCGACUAGAGUGCAGGAGAGGUAAGUGGAAUUCCUAGUGUAGCGGUGAAAUGCGUAGAUAUUAGGAGGAACACCAGUGGCGAAGGCGGCUUACUGGACUGUAACUGACGUUGAGGCUCGAAAGCGUGGGGAGCAAACAGG
rnacentral:rRNA from 1 species